rnacentral:misc_RNA from 1 species
UUUCCGUAGGUGAACCUGCGGAAGGAUCAUUAAUUAUAUAAGGCCACUGGGCAAGCUUUCCGAAAGGAUCGAGCUUGCUGUGUGAACCCUACCUACCCUUGCUUUUUGCGUACCCAUUGUUUCCUCGGCAGGCUUGCCUGCCAGUAGGACCCUCUUAAACCCUUUGUAAUUGCAGUCAGCGUCAGAAACAACGUAAUCGUUACAACUUUCAACAACGGAUCUCUUGGUUCUGGCAUCGAUGAAGACGCAGC